GCCAACAUGGUACAGUGGUUUGAGUGUUGGACUUUAAGGACUCCAAGAGACCAGAGUUCAAAUCCCUGGUUGGCA